AUGAAGUGGAACUUACGGAUGGCAGUAGCAGGUCGGGAGGCAGAAGUUACCGGUUCAGUUGAGCGUAGGUUGGGGGGUUUACGGUUUUGGAGUGGAGUGGUAGCUUGGUGCAUGGCUGAUUUUUGGACUGAUUUUGGACAAUUUUGGACAGCAUGUGCAGUAGGUUUUGUAGGGGCUGUUUUGAACUGGUUUGUUUGGAGGUUUUAUGAGGUUUUGACAGCAACAUUUUCUGGACGACAACUUGCUCAUGGUUCGUGGACUGAUUUCAACAAAUAUUUUUUUGUAUGGUUAUGUACACUUGUGUAA